rnacentral:lncRNA from 1 species
GAGGAUGUAAUUAUUUCGAUGGAAUUUAUGCUUUGGAGUUGAUUAAUUAAUGCAUCUUUGAAAAAUGGAUACUUGACUAUAACCUAUCAUUUGGGUGGGGUUUAUUUUAACGGAUAAUAUGGAAUUAUUUUGUUUUGUCAACUCUAACAGAAGCUAUUAUCAUGGAUAUAGUUGUUUAUAAAACAACAAUUAGUGAGCAAACCACCAUUGCCAAAACCAAAGGCGCACUAUGUUCGCAUCUUUAGGAACAGAAAACAAUUGGGAAAGGAUGCGAGAGCAUUAUUAUACAGUCAAAAUAUCUCAUGAAUAUGCUCAUGUAUCUUUGACUGUUUUUCUCUGAAAAGGUAGAAUUGAAUAUUGUUAUUCAAAUGUAGCUAAUCACUAAA